GUAGUUCACCAUUGCACAUCCUUUAAAAAAAUAAAAAAUAGAAUUGCUGGCAUGUUCUACAAGCUGCAAGUAGGGAGACUGCUGUUGUACCUGGGGCUUCCCAUAGGCAUAUGGCUGGACACUGUGAGAAUAGAUAAGUUAUUUCCCCCUUCUUUGUCAUCUCCCCAUCCUUUUAAUUGAAAACAAUUUAGUUUUUCCAAGGGAAAGUCCUCUAGGACCUUCUAAAUCCUUUUGGGGGCCAUUUUGGACACCUCCAUUUCUGUGAUAACCAUUUUGCAAUAAGGUGUGCAGAGUUGUACACUGCGGCCACACAGCAAAGAUUUUGUUUAUAAAGGUGUUCUAUGAUGCAGGUCACUUUAUUUUCAGUCCCUUUCCUAACAAAUCCUAGUAUGGAAUUUGCUAAAAUAUUUUUUUCAUGCUUUUUUCACUGUCAUUGCAAACCAGUAGAGAAAGCUUUUGCCAUUUCUCUUUCUUGACUUGAAUAACUUUCUUCUCCCCUUGUGGCAGAAUAAACAACCUUAAAUUCCAGGCCUGUGCUCCAUACCUGCCCUUCAUCGAAGUUAGUUCUAUUGACAUGCUUGAGAUGAAUAUUCUGUUUGUCUCGAUCUUUUGCCAUUUGUCAUUUCCUUGGGAAUAAAAAUAUCACUUCUUUGCAUCGUAAAUUUUACUCCCUGGAUCUGUUCAUCUUUUACAUUUUCUUUCUUUUUAUUUUCUUUUUGGGGGGAAAGAGAGAGAGGGAAGAGUAGAAAAAGGAGGAUGGCACAUUUAAUAGCCCUCUUUCUAUAAAUCCCUAAGGGAGAGAGGCUUUAUGGCAGAAAAAAUAUAUAUUCAAAAUGAUAGUAUCUCCAUAAUUGAAUGUGCUACCAGGAAUAAUGGAGAAGCAGCAGAAGAAAAAUGUUUUGGCUUUGCUCAAUCAGUAGUGGUGUGGCAGAUCAAACCCAGAUAGUUUGCACUUCAAAUUCGUAAGCAAUUUUGAUUUCUGUGCCAAUGAAUCCUAGCCAUUUUGCCUACCAGUUACACAAAAGAGCUUUAAGAUAGUAAGCAUAAUUCCAUUUCUUUUUCCACCCCGCCACACCAUGAUUGUAUCCUAAAGCCUUUCUCCUCCUGACGGCCCUGACUCACUGCUGAAACCUACUAUUAGUACAGAUAUUUAAUUUGAGCUACUUAAUGUAGCUUUGCUGGGAUAACCAGCCUUCUCUAAAAAAAAAUAAUGUUUCCUUUGCAAACUCGACAAAUACACAGGGCUGAGGGACAACAUUUUCAGGCAAGAUUAGCCUUUCUUCCUGCAAGACAUGCAGUAUGUCAGACAACAGAGUGGGUGACAGAGUCUAUCAAUGCUUGUACCAAUUACUGGAGCACAAAUUCGCGGCAGCACAUUUGCCUAAUCUGUGUAUAGCACUGUUGAUCCAAUUCGCCGGGAACUGGAUUAAGAUGCGAUCUGGCGCGCACUUUCUUUCUUGUGCUCAAACCCCACUGGAUUCAUUUGGACUUACUUUGGAGUAGCUGUUAUCCAUUUGCAUCCCAGGGUGGGCAAAAAAACAACCCCAUAAAAAUACAUGCCCCGUACAAUAAGUAUUAAAACAAUAAAGCAUCAUAUAAAAAUAAAUUACAGUCAUAAACAAAUUCAGCAGAGCAGCAGCAACAUACCAACUGUUGGCCUCCAAAUAAUAUUUACCGUAAAAAGCCUGAAGCACAAAAACAAGCAGAACAGCAGCAUCGUGGGAAGUGUUCCCUGUUCAGUUCCCCAUUAAUUCUGCGUCCUGUGAUCAGUACUCAGGGGUGUCCAGCAGGGAGACAGCAAUGGGGGUGGAGCUGCUUCCUGCGCUUGUGUUUCAGACCACAACUGGUUAUUUUUCAGGAGUACUUGGGAUGCCCCAUACUUCAUUGCAUAAUGCACUCUAGCAUUUUCCUCUAAGAUUUUGUGGCAUGCAACCAAUAAAUAAAUUUUAUUUAUAUCCUGCCCUCCCCUGCCGAAGCCAGGCUCAGGGUGGCUAACAACAAUAAAAUAGUACAACAUUCUAAAAUCAUUUCAUUAUAAAAUUAAUUCAAAUCAAAUUGAUGGCAACCAUUGGGCUAGAGUUCUGUGAAGAUUGCCAAAGGAGGGAGUCAGGCUGUGCCCUGACCAAAGGCCUGGUGGAACAGCUCUGUCUUGCAGGCCCUGUGGAAAGAUGUCAAGUCCUGCAAGGCCCUAGUCUCUUGUGACAGAGCGUUCCACCAGAUCGGAGCCACAGCCGAAAAAGCCCUGGCUCUGGUUGAGGCCAGCCUAACCUCUCUGUGGCCUGGGACCUUCAAGAUGUUUUUGUUUGAAGACCGUAAGUUCCUCUGUGGGACAUACCAGGAGAGGCGGUCCCGUAGGUACGAGGGUCCUAGGCCGUAUAGGGCUUUAAAGGUUAAAACCAGCACCUUAAACCUGAUCCUGUACUCCACCGGGAGCCAGUGCAGCUGGUAUAGCACCAGGUGAAUGUGAUCUCACAGCGAGGACCCCGUAAGGAGUCUCGCCGCGGCAUUCUGCACCCGCUGGAGUUUCUGGGUCAGUCUCAAGGGCAGCUCCACAUAGAGCGAGUUACAAUAAUGAAGCCUGGAGGUGACCGUCGCAUGGAUCACAGUGGCUAGGUCAGGGCGAGAGAGGUAAGAAGCCAACUGCUUAGCUUGGCGGAGAUGAAAAAAUGCCGCCUUUGUUAUAGCUGCAAUCUGCGCCUCCAUGGAAAGGGAGGUGUCAAAGAUUACACCCAAACUCUUAACGGACGGUGCUGGCACUAAUUGCACCCCCGCAAGAGAUGGGAGUUGAGUUCCUCCUGCUUCGCAUUUCUGUGUGGAACUAAUGUUUUCACCAAGGAACCCUAUACACACCCUCGUGACAGUCAGGAUUGACAAUACUGAAGGAGAUGGACCAAUAUCUUGACCUGGUGUAAGGAGCCUUCUUGUGUUCUCAAACCUGAGCAAGUGACCUAUAAGCAAAGAGAGGUCUCCAGUGCUGCCUUAGAGGAUAGCUGUCAAUGUUUCCCUUUUUUAAAGGGAAAUUCCCUUGUUCUGAAUAGGAUUCCUCGCAAUAAAAGGGAAAAGUUGAGAGCUAUGCCUUAGAGACAUCAAAAAGCUAUCAUCUGCACAUAUCUUUCUGCAUCAUUUUUUUACCCCCUCGCAUAGAAAGCUGCUGCCGUGACCAUAUUCUGCCCCUGCUUUUGUUUUCUUGUCGGUAGAAGAAGUGUAUUGAUUGCUUUGAGAGAAACCAUAUAGAAAUCCCAGGCUGGGAUUUCAUGCUAGCCUGCUCAGGUUAGGCACCUUGCCUUCUCAUGCAGGGUUCAUCUAAGCUGUUGGGUUAGGCUGACCGGGCAGGGUGUGUGUGUGUGUAUCUGUGUUUCUGAGCCAGUUAAAAGAUACCAUGGUGAAAGUUCACUCAUUUGGAACGUGGGAGAAAGAGCCUGGCUUUGGAUAGACUGUCCUGGGGGUGGGGGUGUGCUCUUGUGCCUUAACACUCGUUUACUUUUUUUUUCGGUGCAAGACUCCCUUGUUUUUGUAUGCAGCCACCGCACAUGGUUUAGUUCUCUGAGCUGGCAGGUGGCAGCCAGCCUGUAAUUCUGGUCUUGAUUGUCUUGCUGCCAAGGCACAAAGGGAAGCCGCAGUAAUCCACUCCAGCGUUUUGUGGAGAGAGCCGCCAUGUGUGCUUUUCACUCCAAUGUCCCCCAUAAAUCUUGCGGCAGUCAUAAAACUCUUAAGGAAUCUUUAAAGACGUGUGCUUAAAUUUCUGCGCAAGGCGUCGUAAAAUUCUGUGAACGGCCGUGAACUGCACAGUCUCAAAUGGCCAACCAGAAGCCAGUCGUUCCGCAUAGGAAGGCCAGAGGAUUCUGGCAAAAAAGGGAAACUGCCAAUGGGAAACUUAAUUCAUCCCUUACUCAUCCAGAAUGGAGAUCAGCCCAGUGAAAAUAAAUCCCCAGGUCCCAUCCGGUGCUGCCCUGGACAAACAUUUCAUCUGAUCUAACAGGGCAAUCCUCAUGUUCCUUUUCAGAGAAAGUGCAUUCUGAUUGCUAUUGACACAUAACAACACCCAAAUAACUCUUGUUUGAAAUGCAUUAGAAAUGUCCAGUAUGGACUGAUUAACUUUUAAUGCCCCUGUUUUCUGAGAAGCGCUAUGUGCUCUGUUUCAGUAGUGUGGGAUAACCGCUGUCCAUUAAUAUUUAUGCUUUCUGGUAACAGGUUAUAAAGCACCUAAUCACAUAAACAAAUGUGUCAGCUCGGUCUGCGCCUGGAAAUCUGAAUUUAGUCAUGGUAGUUACACUGUGAAGAUUUGUGGGGGGCAAAGAGAGACUUUCAAAAAGCAAAAAACCUAUUCUCCUCUUAGUGUAUAUGCUCACCCCAUGCUUUCACAAUGAACCCGAGGUUGCAAGGAGCAGACUGGAAGCAAUUUCUUGAUUUUUAUUUUUUUUUCAAAGGCAGGGAAUCAUUUCUUACUUUUCUGAAUGCCACUCAGCUGCAGGUAAAUUAGAAUUCUACAGCUUUAGGAUUGCCAAUUAGAGCCAAUUGUAACCUGAAUGGCAGGUCUUGGCAUUAACAUUCUUAGCAGGAUCUCCCUCUCUACACCCCACGCCAUUUCCACUCCACCCACCUCCAUCCCCACGCCAAGGAGAGAUUGUUUCCAAUGCCUAUGACCAAAUUAGGAAGCACUGGAUGCAGUGGAAUAUUCAUUAUCAAAAAAAUAGAAAGAAAAGAAAGUUAAUUGAAAUAAAUACUUGAGGCCUCAAAAAGGUAUUCAAGGAGUAAUGAGGAACGUUUGAACUUUUCUGUUGAAGAUCUAGAGUUUCAACAGAAAUCUAGGCAGCGUCCUGCAGGAGGCAUGGUAGGGCAAGUCUAGUAGGGAAGUGAAUACAGGUGUGGUGGCAAAACAUGGACUUGCUGGUGGGAGGAAGAGGUAAGCCUUCUCAGCUUGGGGAUUCGAAACAGUUGUAGUGACAGAAAGCUGAGCUCAGCUGCGCUUCCUCUCCUCCGGGAUUAGAAAGUUCAAAGCUGCUCUCUGAAAACUGAGUUUUGGCUCUUAGAGUUUAUAAGUGUCUGCAUGACAGUGAAGAGUGGCAAAUGCUGGCAUUUACCUGUUGCCCAUUCUAUGCCACACCUGAGCUCAGGGUUGUGUCGACUGCUGAAUGUUGAACAUCACCGAUAUGUGAUUCUCUGCAAUUGCAUAUGUGUGUUCAAAAGGCAGGGACAUAAAUGCUGGUUUUCAUAUGAUCGCAAAUUGAAUCUGGAAUUGUCAAUGUUCUCAAGUGAAUGUCAACAUUCACACCAGAUUUUGACGGUUCCCUGUGUCACCUAGACCAUUUAACUUCCUGUUUAUUACCCACACAUGUUGACAAGUCUUGAUCUAGACCUGGGGUGAGGAACCUAUGGUUGCCCAGACACUAUAGGAUUCCUUUGUCACCAGCCAGCAUGACCAAUGGCAGGGGAUGAUGGGAACAUCUGGAGGGCGACAGAUCCCCUACCAAUAGACAUAAUAAAUGGCUUCUUUACUAAUAUCCCCAUGCCUGAUUCAAGGUACAUAUUAUUACCUACAAAGCCCUAAAGGGGCUUGAUCCCAUUGUAUUUGAGGUCCCACCUCUUUAUGCAUGAGCCUGUGCAUCAGUUCUGGUCACCUUCUGAGGAAGGUGAAUUGGCAGGGUCGUGGGGCAGGGCCUUUUCGGUGGCUGCGCCCUGACUGUGGAACUCUCCCAAGGCAUCUUAGACUCUCUGCUCAUACCCUCGCUAGGCUUGUAAAUGAAACCCUGUUAAAUUAUUCUGUGUGCAGAGCAACCCCAAACAGCAAUGAGCUCUGUAGAAAAGCCCAUCGCUGAAUUGAUGAGAUGCUACCAACCGUCGCACAAAGCUUUCUUUUCAAAGGCACUCACAUGUGACUAUCCCCAGGGCACAGUAUCCGUUGAACAUGUUUGGAAAAUUCGCCAUUAAAUCCCGUUCGGCUUCUCGUUGAUUUGUGCACAGAUCUACUGCCAGCUCCACCUAUGAAGUUGUGCUAAUAGUUGGCAUGCUAACAGUCUGUUGGCAAGUACCAAGCUCUGUUAAGGGUGGGGAGGAUUGUUAACCACUAAAUGAAAGACUGUUUGAGGUUUGUUUGGUUUUUGUAUCUUGGUUCUCCCCGCCCCCACAUGAUAAAGAGUUUCAUAGUGUGGCAUUUGUACUUUUUCUGCUCUCUUUAAAAUUCUGUAAGCUUUGUGCUCGGCAAAAUAACUGCUGUUACAGUAUACUUGUUACUUUUAUAUAGUGUGCUUUAAUGACAUAAAAUGGAUGUCCCAGGGAUAAAAUUACAUGCUUCGUACCAUUCUGUCUUGUCUUGAGGAUUUAAGCUUGGUAAUCUUUCAGAAAUUGAUCAUUAGUCGCCCAUCUUUUAUAAUGCUGCAAUUGGCAGGAAAUUUGUGAAAAACAGUACUU
rnacentral:lncRNA from 1 species